AUGGAUCGGGAGCUGGAGGAGGCGAACUGCAAGUUCGCGUGGCUCAAGCUCGCCUGCGCGGAGUACGAGCUCGACUCCUGCGCCACCCUGCUCUCCGAGCUCAAGGUUCUCCUCACAAAGUUUCCUAGCAUGCCACCAUCAUUUGAGAGGACACCUAAUGCAGUUGCGGAGCUGAGACUCGCAAGGGCCAUAUACGAGUUUGCUGUUAUCUUCAGCAUCAGAGUUAAGGACCAAGAUGCAUUUGAGAGGAACUUCUUCCAAUUAAAAGUUUUCUACAUGGAUACAAGAGGCAUACUCCCACCAUCACCAGAAGAAUAUCGAAUUUUGGGACUUAAUCUUAUGAGACUGUUGGCUGAGAACAGAGUAGCUGAAUUCCACACUGAGCUGGAACUUCUGCCCCCGAGAGCCCUUGACCAUCCUUGCAUCAAAUACGCAGUGGAGCUUGAGCAAUCCUUUAUGGAAGGUACCUACAACCGAUUAACCAAUGGUCGGCAAGCUGUGCCACAUGAGACAUACCUCUACUUCAUGGACCUUCUUGCUGAAACUAUUAGAGAUGAGAUAGCUGAUUGCAGUGGUCAGGCAUACGAUCACUUGCCAGUGGAUGAUGCCAGAAAAAUGCUGAUGUUUUCCUCUGAGCAAAAGCUUCUGGAGCACAUAUCAGAGAUACAACAUGAAUGGGAGGUUCAGAAUCAUUCAGUCCUUUUUCACAUGGCGAAGGUCCAACCCCGUGUCGGCAUACAAGCGCAUCAGAUGAUCAAGCGAUCUCUUUGCUACGCCCGGGAGCUUGAGCGGGUAGUGUAA
rnacentral:rRNA from 1 species